AUUGAACGCUGGCGGCAGGCCUAACACAUGCAAGUCGAGCGAGAGGCGGACGGGUGAGUAAUGUAUGGGGACUGACCGCUAGAGGGGGAUAAAUACUGGAAACGGUGGCUAAUACCGCAUACUAUCGGAUAACACAUAUGGGAUUAGCUAGUAGGUGGGGUAAAGGCUCACAAAGGCGACGAUCUAUAGCUGGUCUGAGAGGAUGAUCAGCCACACUGGGACUGAGACACGGCCCAGACUACUACGGAGGCAGCAGUGGGGAAUGUUGCACAAGGGGCGAAAGCCUGAUGGAGCCAUGCCGCGUGUAUGAAGAAGGCCUUAGGGUUGUAAAGUACUUUCAGCGGGGAGGCGUUACCCGCAGAAGAAGCACCGGCUAACUCCGUGCCAGCAGCCGCGGUAAUUC
rnacentral:rRNA from 1 species